CAACUUAUGCCUUGCAGGGGAAAUGCCAUGUCAUAAAAGUGGUUUUCCCAGAGGGAGGCUCAUCCAUUGCACUUCAGGUACGCUGCUGAUUCCUGUGACUUCCCCAAGUGUGAAGAACUCAACUGCACAACUGGUGUUAAUGGGAGGUUACAUUUGUGUUUUACCUGG
rnacentral:snRNA from 1 species